rnacentral:rRNA from 1 species
CACUGCCGAGAAAAGCCUCUAGAUAGAAAAUAGGUGCCCGUACCGCAAACCGACACAGGUAGUCAAGAUGAGAAUUCUAAGGUGAGCGAGCGAACUCUCGUUAAGGAACUCGGCAAAAUGACCCCGUAACUUCGGGAGAAGGGGUGCUCUUUAGGGUUAACGCCCAGAAGAGCCGCAGUGAAUAGGCCCAAGCGACUGUUUAUCAAAAACACAGGUCUCUGCUAAACCGUAAGGUGAUGUAUAGGGGCUGACGCCUGCCCGGUGCUGGAAGGUUAAGAGGAGUGGUUAGCUUCUGCGAAGCUACGAAUCGAAGCCCCAGUAAACGGCGGCCGUAACUAUAACGGUCCUAAGGUAGCGAAAUUCCUUGUCGGGUAAGUUCCGACCCGCACGAAAGGCGUAACGAUUUGGGCACUGUCUCAACGAGAGACUCGGUGAAAUCAUAGUACCUGUGAAGAUGCAGGUUACCCGCGACAGGACGGAAAGACCCCGUGGAGCUUUACUGUAGCCUGAUAUUGAAAUUCGGCACAGCUUGUACAGGAUAGGUAGGAGCCUUUGAAACGUGAGCGCUAGCUUACGUGGAGGCGCUGGUGGGAUACUACCCUAGCUGUGUUGGCUUUCUAACCCGCACCACUUAUCGUGGUGGGAGACAGUGUCAGGCGGGC